CCUACGGGUGGCAGCAGUGAGGAAUAUUGGUCAAUGGACGAGAGUCUGAACCAGCCAAGUAGCGUGAAUGAUGACUGCCCUAUUGGUUGUAAACUUCUUUUAUAAAGGAAUACAACGAGGCACGUGUGCCUUUUUGCAUGUACUUUAUGAAUAAGGCUCGGCUAACUCCGUUCCAGCAGCCGCGGUAAUACGGAGGAUCCUAGCGUUAUCCGGCUUUCUUGGGUUUAAAGGGAGCGUAGAUGGGUUGUUAAGUCAGUUGUGAAAGUUUGCGGCUCAACCGUAAAAUUGCAAUUGAUACUGGUAGUCUUGAGUACAGGUGAGGUAAGCGGAAUUCGUGGUGUAGCGGUGAAAUGCUUAGAUAUCACGAAGAACCCCGAUUGCGAAGGCAGCUUACUAAACUGUGACUGACAUUGAUGCUCGAAAGUGUGGGUAUCAAACAGGAUUAGAUACCCGUGUAGUC
rnacentral:rRNA from 1 species